CCGUCAUCUGUUUUCUGCUCGCGGUUAUUUGUGUUCAGUGGCACCAGCCAUUUUUUAGCCAACCUGGUUGUCCAGUUUAAGAUAAAGCCUCUUCUUACCCACAACCUGGUAUUCAUCUUUUUUUUUGUUGCGGCCUUGAGCCGGGUCGUAACAAAGCUUUGCUCAUGUUUCAGAGAUGCUGUAAGAGAUCGAUAUUCAAUGCCCUGAGAUGACAUUGAAUUUUAAUUAUAUAGCACCGAAUUAUAACAAUUAAAUUCUAAUCAACUACAUUUCAGAGGAAAAUAGUGGGGGUGGGGUGGAGGUCUAUUUAUAACUAGUUAUGUUAGAGUUAGCAGUUUGCAUGUUUUACCUACCUUUGCACUUUAUAUUAUGUUUAAUUAUGUUUACACUUUUUCAGGAUCAACAGUGUUUUCAGGAUAUCAGAUAAUUAACUUCCUUUCUAUUUAGGCAGGCCAAAAAGGGGUGUAGCAUGGACUUCUUGGCAUUAUACAUAGACAGUUUCUUAGGGCACUUCCUUCCUUAAUCCAAAGCUCUCACGCUGACUGUUCCUUCAUUUCCCAUGGUGCAGAGCAGAACACCAGGCCUUUUGUCCUGUAACCUUUAAAUAUCUCAUCGGUGCAUUUGUACAGAAGGUUCCAGCGCUUCCUGGAUCUAGGAACACGUACACCUCAACUUUUUUUUGCUCCCUAAACAACAGACCUUCACCUGCAUGAUUACAAGUAAAGUGGAAUGGAAAUCUCAGUGUCAGUGAAACUGAGUUUGCUAAAAGUGAUGAAGACAGCCAUGAACCCAGUCUAGAAAGCUCAUCAUAGGCUAUUUGUGAAAAGUGUAUGAUACAACAAGCUGGGGGAAUAUUGUGUGAUGCAACUCAUGUCCUGUAUUCACAAUAUGCACUGUUUCCUUCUGGAAGAGGACACAGAGAUCUAAACUGUUAGUUUAAAUUAAUUUAAUGUUCUGAGCAGCAGGCUGCAUUGUGGAGUUUGCUGGGUUAGUGCAACAUAACAGUCUAUGUUUAUUAUGAUGUAUAUUAAAUGUUUCUAAAUUGUUA